AAAAAGGACACUUUCAUCAUGCUAAACCAUGCUACUUCAUACCAUGCCUUGUACCUCAAAAGGACAGCAGCAUUAUGCAUCAUUUGCUGUCAUUUGAAGCCUCAUUUGCAGCCUAAAAAACCAGCAAAACAAAGGCCAUGCUUGCUUGCUUGAUUUUGGAGAAAAAGUACAAUUUGCAACCAUACCUAUCCAUACUAUCCAUGAGCCAUGCUUUGUAUCUCUUAGCAAAAGAUUUUAUAUCAUUUUUUUUCUGUCAAUUGAAGACUAGAAGCAACCAUACACAACAGAACUUCAUUCAUUCAUACUCAUUCUUGGCAUUUUUUCCAAAACCUGUCAAAAAAAAAAAAAAUCCCAAAAGACCAAGCUUUGCCUUGCCAAAAGCAACAUCAAACAGCAGACCAAAGCAUCAUUUUCUGUCAAUAGAAGACCUUAGUUGCAGCAAAAAACACAAAAACAUCUCAUUCUAAAAAAGCUUCAUUUUGUGCAUUUUCAAAAACCAGUCCAAAUUUUAAGCCAUUGCAAGUUGUUUUGAACCAAGCUUUCUUCACCAAUCAUCAUUUGGAGGGCUGUGCUUCAUCUGUUUCGAAUCAACAAUAUCAAAAAACCUCUAAAUCCCAACUGUUCUACAAAAUAGGUGAGUUUUCGACCUCAACCUUUUCUAAAAUCAUGAUGUACAUCUUAUAGAUCUUUUCACCCUGAACACGCCGAGCUUUGAAUCGAGAAAAACGGUUAGGAAUUGAGAGAGAAAUUUGAUUUCCAAAUUUGAUAUUCAUUUACUCUUUUACAUAAUUUGUCCAUUGUAGCAUGAGUUGAGAUUAUUGGAAUUUGAUUUAUGCUUGAGCAUGUUUAGAUAAGCAUCUUAGUGUUUUGGAUUUUCGGUUUUGGUAAAAAAAAAAAAAAAAAAAAAAAAUUGCAUUACUGGAAUUUACAUGGAUGCUGGACGUUUUGCUGUAACAUUUCCUGGAAUUUGCUUCCUGUAGCAUGCCGUUUAAUUGGUAGGGUCUAAUGCAUGUUGACGUGCAUGUUUACUGUAGCGUAGCGUUUGUAAAUAAAUGCCAAAAGGCCUGGGGCGAGGGGGAUUCGAACCCCAGACCUUUGCUUCAAAUACCAAGUGUUUUACCACUGGGGCGCAAUGCCAAUUCAUUAAUUAAACGCCUUCUACAAAAUAUAUGUUAAAAAAGGGCGCUGACUUUGCAAAUUUAAUGAAACGCUGGGUUUCAUACUCAGCAUGGGGGGCGUUUUGGUCAUUUACCACAGCGCCUAUUAUUUAAUCCACUUUAAUUCAUUUAGUCUCAAUUUUUAUUUCAUUUACCAUGCCAAUCUUACAAAAUUCAUAGAUCAUUCAUUUUAAAUCCAAAUUUCAUGGGAUUUUUUGCAUAAUGAUCAUCACAAUCUCUAGUUUUUUAUCAUUAUUUUUCCAGAUUUUUUGGUUGAGUAAUUUUUAAUUGGCCUUAGGGUUUG
rnacentral:lncRNA from 1 species